UACGGAGGGUGCAAGCGUUGUUCGGAUUGACUGGGCGUAAAGGGCGCGUAGGCGGUUCGUUAAGUCCUGUGUGAAAUCCCCCGGCUCAACUGGGGAACUGCACAGGAAACUAGCGGGCUUGAGUUCGGGAGAGGGAAGCGGAAUUCCGGGUGUAGCGGUGAAAUGCGUAGAUAUCCGGAGGAACACCGGUGGCGAAGGCGGCUUCCUGGACCGACACUGACGCUGAGGCGCGAAAGCUAGGGGAGCAAACGGG
rnacentral:rRNA from 1 species